rnacentral:lncRNA from 1 species
CGCAAGUUGGCUGAGACUCGGGGGGAGAGGACAUAGAGCCCACUUCUCCAUGACAUUUGCUCGGACGGGGGGUCCCAACUGCCCCAAUAGCUUUGGACAUCCCAUGUGCAUUGCUUGAAUGAGCAGGACCCCAGGGUUCUUCCAGAGGAGCAGAAGUCUCAGCUUGAAUGCUGACGCUAUGUGGUGGUGAGCGGCAGUGGGUGUAUCUUGCCCAUAAACCCUUGGAGGACAGUGGAGGACAGGGACUGACCAACUCACCCAAGGGUCCUCUGCAUGCACAUGGUCCCUGCACAUGGCACAUAGUUGGUGCUCAGAAGGCCUUUGCUGGAACAAAGGAAAACACAAGCACCCACAGCAGUGAUGGCUGAUUUUGUCGGGUCUGCAAUGGAGAUUAGUCACCACUAGGUGUCAUGGUGAGUCAAGAAACAUUUUGGCUCAUGGUUACAAAUUAUGCGUUUACUGUAUUCAUCUUCGUGCAUGCACACAUGCAAUGUUUUACAAAGCAUCUGUUGAGUGUCUACGGCACAACACACACGUUCUGGUGCUGGAGAUCCUGCCCUGGCUGAGCUUCUGGACCUGGUGGGGAGAAAUCCACAAUGAGUACUGAGACGACCGGCAAAAGCCCGGUGAAGGCACCUAGGAGUAGGGCCUGCUUACCCUGGAGGAGUCGGGAGCAGCUUCCACAGCAAGGAGGCUUCUAAGAUUUUUUGUUCUUUGUCAGCAUGAGUACCUGGGAUCUUACAUGUAGCCCCUGCAUCAUUUCAGAAAUGAUCUCCAGUGCCCAGGCUCUGAUGCCCAACAGACCUGAAGUUACAUCCCAACCUGAACAGGCGGCUUUUGCUCUCCAGGCCUUCAUUGCCCCACAGUGGGAACAAUAAUAAUAUGCACCUUCUAGGUACCCAAAAGCACAAGAGACAGUGAACGGAAAGUGCUUGGAAGCCCCGUGCCCAGGUGGUGCUGGCCCCAGCUGAACUGCGGGGAUAGAUGUUGAGUGUCCAGGUUCUAGCAUCAUAGAACAGAAUCCGGCCUGUUGGGAAAUCCUGCCUACAAGUAUACCUCCAUUAAUUAGUGUCUUCUGUGAACAUUUUUAUUAAAAAAAGAAGAAAAGCUUCUCAA